UACGUAGGUGGCAAGCGUUGUCCGGAAUUAUUGGGCGUAAAGCGCGCGCAGGUGGUUUCUUAAGUCUGAUGUGAAAGCCCACGGCUCAACCGUGGAGGGUCAUUGGAAACUGGGGAACUGAGUGCAGAAGAGGAAAGUGGAAUUCCAAGUGUAGCGGUGAAAUGCGUAGAGAUUUGGGAGGAACACCAGUGGCGAAGGCGCUUUCUGGUCUGUAACUGACGCUGAGGCGCGAAAGCGUGGGGAGCAACAGG
rnacentral:rRNA from 1 species